GUGAAUUGAAUAUGUUAGCGGACCUCUUCGGAGUCCCUAGCAUCAAAUCAUGUCCAUAACACCUGUGAACUGUAAGGCUGUCUUGAAAACGAAAGUGAUUAGAGCGCCUGCCCAUUUUAUACAAACAUUAAAGUAACAAACGUAGUCUUAUUAUAAUCUAAU
rnacentral:misc_RNA from 1 species